AGAGCCGACAAUCAAAUUGUCAGUUAUCAGUGUGUAGUUCAUGCCUGAAAAACAAGACAUGGAUCAUCAGAAUAAUUGAUCAACAUAUCAAGAAGAGGUGGCAUUGUCUUGAAAGAUGAAGUGCUGAAAUGUAGAAGUGGACAACUAGGAAUACAAAUGUUUGCAAAAUGCAGUACCAGACCAGGUCUAUAAACUUGUUCUCUUGAUGAUACUAUGUUUAGGGAUAAAUGAACAUAUGGAGCAUAGUUCCUAGCUUGAGAAUAAUGGCAAAGAUUGCUGUAAUAUAUAUACACAUUAUAGAAUGUUUUGGGGAAAUUUUCAAA